UCCCCCAGCCCAUCGUGGAAGCUGUCGGUAACCAUGGCAACUGCAAAAGGGAUUCAUUGAAGCUAAGCAGGUCUGGGCCUGGCCAGUACUUGGAUGGCAGACCAGUGAGGAAAGUUGGUGUUGGUGUAA
rnacentral:rRNA from 1 species